AAGUCGUAACAAGGUAUCUGUAGGUGAACCUGCAGAUGGAUCAUUUAAGAGUUAAGGGCGCUCGUAAGAGGCCUGCCACUCAUUACAAACACUUGUGCACUUGAAAACGGAGGAAGUUUUCCUUUCGGAAAGCCCCUCAAAUAAAAAACACUUGUAUUAGAAAGUUGAUGAUGUCAAUAAAUAUUGAUAAACGAAAGUAAAACUUUCAGCAACGGAUCUCUUGGCUCUC
rnacentral:misc_RNA from 1 species